rnacentral:lncRNA from 1 species
GCUAAACUCUUCAGGACACCGGCCCUCCAGCAACGAGUUUGGGCACCCCUGGCAUAGACAUUACCCUACCCCUUUUACAUGGUAUUAAUUUUAUUUGUGCAGGUCUUAAGUAUUAAAUUAAGGUUAAACAGUACCUUGUAGUAGGGAACUACAUUUUCUUUUGUCUUCAGUGGUGGAUGUGAAUGAUUCAAGCAGUACAUCUUCUGGCGAGUGCUAUCAAAACACUGAGAUUGACACGGACAACCAUUUCAUGUCACGUGAGGAAAAACCAUCAUUGCAUGAAAAGUCACCAUUUGCACCCCUGUCUUACGUUGACCAUCACUUAUCAAACUCUGACAGUCGAGCGGUGGAUGUGAAUGAUUCAGACAGUACAUCUUCUGGUGAGUGCUAUCAAAACACAAAGAUCGACAUGGACAACAGUCUCCAGUAUGAAGACGAGGAAAGCCCAUCACUUCCUGAGAAGUCACUACAGACACCCCACAGCACUCAGAUGACAGGAAACACUGCUGGUUACAGUGGCUCUCAUGUACCUGUCACCCACAGUCAAGAUGGGAAUGAUUCAGACAGUACUUCAUCAGAAGAGUGUUAUCAGAACACAGAGAUUGCUGAAAACGCCUUUCACCAUUAUGGUGAGGAAAGCCCAUCACUUCCUGAGAUGUCUUUUCAGAAUCCCCACAUUGCACAGAUGACAGAAAGUACUGAUGGUUACAGGGACCAUCGUGUACCUAGAAACCUCAGUCAAGAAACAGAUAACAGCAGCACAGCAUCAGAGGCAUCGUAUGUUAAUGUACCACCUAAAAAAGAGAGGGAGGACCAUUCUGCUGCAUCUUCAGAAAGCGACUAUGAUGAAGCUGGAACCUGGUGAAAUCAACAUGACAACUGCAAGAGAUUUUUCCGAGCAGGUAAAACCUUCAAAAACACAAAU